AAUAAACGCUGGCGGCGUGCCUAACACAUGCAAGUCGAGCGCCCAGCAAUGGGAGCGGCAGACGGGAGAGUAACACGUGGGAACGUACCUUUCAGUUCGGAACAACCAAGGGAAACUUUGGCUAAUACCGGAUACGCCCGUAAGGGGAAAGAUUUAUCGCUGAAAGAUCGGCCCGCGUCUGAUUAGCUUGUUGGUGAGGUAACGGCUCACCAAGGCGACGAUCAGUAGCUGGUCUGAGAGGAUGACCAGCCUCACUGGGACUGAGACACGGCCCAGACUCCUACGGGAGGCAGCAGUGGGGAAUAUUGGACAAUGGGCGCAAGCCUGAUCCAGCCAUGCCGCGUGGAUGAUGAAGGCCUUAGGGUUGUAAAGUCCUUUUAACGGGGAAGAUAAUGACGGUACCCGUAGAAUAAGCCCCGGCUAACUUCGUGCCAGCAGCCGCGGUAA
rnacentral:rRNA from 1 species